GCUGGGUGUGGUGGCGGGCACCUGUAAUCCCAGCUACUCGGGAGGCUGAGGCAGGAGAAUUGCUUGAUCCUGGGAGGCGGAGGUUGCAGUGAGCCGAGAUUGUGCCACUGCGCUCCAGCCUGGGUGACAAAGCAAGACUCUGUCUCAA
ensembl:misc_RNA Metazoa_SRP Metazoan signal recognition particle RNA